CAGUACCGUGAGGGAAAGGUGAAAAGGACCGCGGGAGGGGAGUGAAAUAGAACCUGAAACCUUGUGCCUACAAGCGGUCAGAGCUGGUAGCGUAAGUUACUGGUGAUGGCGUGCCUUUUGCAUAAUGAGCCGACGAGUUAAUGUUUUAAGCGAGGUUAAGUGUUACAGGCACGUAGCCGUAGCGAAAGCGAGUCGUAAAUAGGCGUGAUAGUUUAAGGCAUUAGACCCGAAACCGGGUGAUCUACUCCUGGUCAGGCUGAAGGUUGGGUAAAACCAGCUGGAGGGCCGCACCAACCGUCGUUGAAAAGGCGGUGGAUGAACUGGGGGUAGGGGUGAAAGGCCAAUCAAACCCGGAGAUAGCUGGUUCUCUUCGAAACAUAUUUAGGUAUGGCCUCAGGAGAGAUUAAUAGAGGUAGAGCACUGAAUGGGCUAGGGGGCUUAUAGGCUUACUGAACCCAAUCAAACUCCGAAUGCUAUUAAUUGUUUUCUGGGAGACAGGGCGUGGGGGAUAAGCUUCACGUGCGAGAGGGGAAGAACCCAGACUGUCAGCUAAGGUCCUUAAAUAGGUGUUAAGUGCUAAAGGAUGUGCAAUUGCAGAGACAGCCAGGAUCUUGGCUUAGAAGCAGCCAUGAUUUAAAGAGUGCGUAACAGCUCACUGGUCGAGUGGUAGUGCACCGAAGAUAAUCGGGACUUAAGCAUCUUACCGAAGCUGCGGAGUAGCCGUAGAUUUAAUUUUUGGAUAAAACUGAGGAUUAGAUAGGUUACUGGUAGGAGAGCAUUGUGUAUACGGAGAAGGUAUACUGGGAGGUAUGCUGGAGUGUACACAAGAGACCAUGUCGGCAUGAGUAACGAUAAUGCGGGUGAGAAACUCGCACACCACAAGCCCGAGGAUUCCUGAGUAAAGAUAAUCUUCUCAGGGUUAGUCGGUCCCUAAGGUAUAGCGAUGAGGCGAAGCUGAAGGGAAUCAGGUUAAUAUUCCUGAACCUUUGCAUAAUGCGAUGGAGUGACGCGAUGGUGCGGCAGGGACGGCUGUUGGAAUAGCCGUUGAAUGCGUGUAGGAGGUGAUGCAGGCAAAUCCACAUCACAGGGACUCCGAGGCGUAGGACGAGGCGUAAGCCAUAAAGUCUGCUUAGAUACAUUGCCGAGAAAUAGCUUCUAAGCGUCAGUUAUGCAGAGACCGUACCGCAAACCGACACAGGUGGGCGAGGAGAAUAUCCUAAGGUGUUCGAGCGAACUCUGGUUAAGGAACUAGGCAAAAUGGCCCCGUAACUUCGGGAGAAGGGGUACCCCGUUAUGGUGAAGGAGCACAUCUGGAGCCAGAGGGGGUCGCAGUGAAGAGGCCCAAGCGACUGUUUACCAAAAACACAGGUCUAUGCGAAGGCGAAAGCCACGGUAUAUAGACUGACACCUGCCCGGUGCCGGAAGGUUAAGUGGAGAGGUUAUCCUAACUGGGAACAGUUAGGAGAAGCUUCGAAACGAAGCCCCGGUAAACGGCGGCCGUAACUAUAACGGUCCUAAGGUAGCGAAAUUCCUUGUCGGGUAAGUUCCGACCUGCACGAAUGGUGUAACGAUUUGGGCGCUGUCUC
rnacentral:rRNA from 1 species